rnacentral:rRNA from 1 species
UUUUUUUUUUGAAUUUAAUAUAUUUAUUUUUGGGUAAAAUUUAAAUUUUUAUUAAUUUUUAUUUGAUUCUUUGAAGUGUAUAAUAUAAACUAGGAUUAGAUACCCUAUUAUAAUAUAUUUAAAUUUUUGACCUGGGUAGUAUUAGUUAUGUUCUUUAAACCUAAAGAAUUUGGCGGUGUUUUAGUCUAUUUAGAGGAAUUUGCUCCUUAAUCGAUAGUCCUCGAUUUAUCUUACUUGUAUUUGUUUUCAGUAUGUAUACCGCCGUUAUCAGUUUAUUUUAUUAGAAUAAGAA